rnacentral:rRNA from 1 species
UACGAAGGGGGCUAGCGUUGCUCGGAAUCACUGGGCGUAAAGGGUGCGUAGGCGGGUUUCUAAGUCAGAGGGGAAAGCCUGGAGCUCAACUCCAGAACUGCCUUUGAUACUGGAAGUCUUGAGUUCGGAAGAGGUGAGUGGAACUGCGAGUGUAGAGGUGAAAUUCGUAGAUAUUCGCAAGAACACCAGUGGCGAAGGCGGCUCACUGGCCCGAUACUGACGCUGAGGUACGAAAGCGUGGGGAGCAAACAGG